rnacentral:rRNA from 1 species
GACGAACGCUGGCGGCGUGCUUAACACAUGCAAGUCGAACGGAAAGGCCCUGCUCUUGUGGCGUGCUCGAGUGGCGAACGGGUGAGUAACACGUGAGUAACCUGCCCUUGACUUUGGGAUAACUUCAGGAAACUGGGGCUAAUACCGGAUAGGAGCUCCUGCUGCAUGGUGGGGGUUGGAAAGUUUCGGCGGUUGGGGAUGGACUCGCGGCUUAUCAGCUUGUUGGUGGGGUAGUGGCUUACCAAGGCUUUGACGGGUAGCCGGCCUGAGAGGGUGACCGGCCACAUUGGGACUGAGAUACGGCCCAGACUCCUACGGGAGGCAGCAGUGGGGAAUAUUGCACAAUGGGCGGAAGCCUGAUGCAGCAACGCCGCGUGCGGGAUGACGGCCUUCGGGGUAUAAACCGCUUUCGCCGGUGACGAAGCGAGAGUGACGGUAAUGGGUAAAGAAGCACCGGCUAACUACGUG